GAAGAAAAGUCUAUACAAGAAUAGACAUACAGAGAGAAUGCCGUGUACUGACAGAGGCAGAGAUUGGAGUGAUGCAGCUGUAAACCAAGGAAUGUCAAAGAUCAACGGCCACCACCAGAAGCUGGGAAGAGUUUAGAGAGUUCGUUGUUCCAGAUACUCGUCCACUGACAGACGUGUGGCUUGCAAAUAUUUUGUCUCAGUCUCCAGCUUGUGUUUUUAUUCUCUUAACAGGAUCUUUUGCAGAGCAAAAGUUUUUAAAAUUUCUGAGGCCAAAUUUAUCAAAUUUUCUUUUUUUUUUUUUUUUUUUUUUUAAAGAUUUUAUUUUAUUUUUUCCUUUUUCUCCCC
rnacentral:lncRNA from 1 species